CCCAAGGCCGCCGCUGCAUCCUGA
rnacentral:siRNA from 1 species